UCCUACGGGAGGCAGCAGUGGGGAAUCUUGCACAAUGGAGGAAACUCUGAUGCAGCGAUGCCGCGUGAGUGAAGAAGGCCCUUGGGUUGUAAAGCUCUUUUGUCGGGAAAGAUAAUGACUGUACCCGAAUAAGAAGGUCCGGCUAACUUCGUGCCAGCAGCCGCGGUAAUACGAAGGGACCUAGCGUAGUUCGGAAUUACUGGGCUUAAAGAGUUCGUAGGUGGUUGAAAAAGUUAGUGGUGAAAUCCCAGAGCUUAACUCUGGAACUGCCAUUAAAACUUUUCAGCUAGAGUAUGAUAGAGGAAAGCAGAAUUUCUAGUGUAGAGGUGAAAUUCGUAGAUAUUAGAAAGAAUACCAAUUGCGAAGGCAGCUUUCUGGAUCAUUACUGACACUGAGGAACGAAAGCAUGGGUAGCGAGGAGGAUUAGAUACCCUCGUAGUCCAUGCCGUAAACGAUGUGUGUUAAACGUUGGAAAUUUAUUUUCAGUGUCGCACCGAAAGCGAUAACACACCGCCUGGGGAGUACGACCGCAAGGUUAUAAACUCAAAUGGAAUUG
rnacentral:rRNA from 1 species